rnacentral:sRNA from 1 species
CGGGAGCCAGUUCGGUUGCGGGUGUCUUUGGCCCUGCGGUCAGCCCUGGGAACGUCCCGGAGAGCUAGAUUCCUAGAGGCCCGAUUCCGCUAGCCCGGAACAGACAAAGCCAGCGCUCCCGCCCGCUCCCCGACUUAGGAUCCGAUGCCGGCAGCGUCCUGGGGCCCCCGUAGCGGGGCUGGACCAUGAGCCUGCUGGACGGCCUCGCCUCCUCGCCGCGGGCUCCACUGCAGUCCAGCAAGGCCAGGAUGAAAAAGCUCCCGAAGAAAAGCCAGAAUGAGAAGUACCGGCUGAAGUACCUGCGGCUGCGCAAAGCGGCCAAGGCCACGGUGUUUGAAAAUGCUGCUAUUUGUGAUGAAAUUGCUCGUCUUGAGGAAAAAUUUCUUAAAGCAAAAGAAGAAAGAAGGUACUUGCUAAAGAAGCUCCUCCAGCUUCAGGCUCUAACUGAAGGGGAAGUACAGGCUGCAGCUCCUUCCCACAGUUCCAGUUUGCCCCUGACUUAUGGUGUGGCCAGCUCUGUGGGAACUAUACAGGGAGCUGGGCCUAUUUCAGGGCCCAGCACUGGGGCUGAGGAACCAUUUGGGAAGAAAACUAAGAAGGAGAAAAAAGAAAAAGGCAAAGAGAACAACAAACUGGAAGCAGCAGCCCCUUGCUGAUCCAUACCAACCCCAGAAUAUCUCCAGUCCCUGCAAAACCAGAUCAUCACCGACCGACCUGGCUUUCAUGAUGA